GAGGAAAAGAAACCAACAGGGAUUGCCUUAGUAACGGCGAGUGAAGCGGCAAAAGCUCAGAUUUGAAAUCUGGCGUCAUUUUGGCGUCCGAGUUGUAAUCUGUAGAGGAGUAUUCGAGUGUAGCUUUGGCUUAAGUUCCUUGGAACAGGGCGUCAUAGAGGGUGAGAACCCCGUUAACGGCCUUUGUCUUAUGCUCAUGUGAAUCUUCUUCAACGAGUCGAGUUGUUUGGGAAUGCAGCUCUAAAUGGGUGGUAAAUUCCAUCUAAAGCUAAAUACUGGCAAGAGACCGAUAGCGCACAAGUAGAGUGAUCGAAAGAUGAAAAGAACUCUGAACAGAGAGUUAAAUAGUACGUGAAAUUGUUGAAAGGGAAGCACUUGCGACCAGACGCACCUGCAGCCGAUCAACCUCCAUUCUUGGUGGUGCACUCGGUUGUAGGUGGGUCAGCAUCAGUUACAGCGGUGGGAAAAAGACUUGGGGAAUGUGGCUCUCUUCCGGGGGAGUGUUAUAGCCCUUGGUGUAAUGCUGCCAGCUGUGACUGAGGAACGCGCUUCGGCGAGGAUGCUGACAUAAUGGUCGUAAGUGACCCGUCUUGAAACACGGACCAAGGAGUCUAACAUCUAUGCGAGUGUUUGGGUGUUCAAACCCUUACGCGUAA
rnacentral:rRNA from 1 species